UACGUAGGGCGCAAGCGUUGUCCGGAAUUAUUGGGCGUAAAGAGCUCGUAGGCGGCUUGUCACGUCGGGUGUGAAAGCCCGGGGCUUAACCCCGGGUCUGCAUUCGAUACGGGCAGGCUAGAGUGUGGUAGGGGAGAUCGGAAUUCCUGGUGUAGCGGUGAAAUGCGCAGAUAUCAGGAGGAACACCGGUGGCGAAGGCGGAUCUCUGGGCCAUUACUGACGCUGAGACGCGAAAGCGUGGGGAGCAAACAGG
rnacentral:rRNA from 1 species